GAUAUAUUUUGCUCCCAAACGCCGCCCUAGAAGAAGGACUACACUGAAAUGAAACGGAGAUGAUUAAAGUCUGAUUUAUAGGCUGUACAAGCCCUGAAAGCAAGAACGGGGUUCACGGCAUCUUGAUACCCCCAUGUGGGGACGUUUUGGCGAUUUUAUUUACAAGAAAGGGAUUUUACACCGGAGAGGCUUUUAAAUAUGCUAACAGACUGGACCAGCUUUCUCAUCCCCACUGGCUGAUUAAUGAUUCCUCCAUGCCAACCCGGUUCUCAGAGACACCAAGGCCAGGUCUCCAAAGACCUGGGAAAAAAUUACUUCAUGUCCUUGUAAAAACGUUUUCACAAAUUUAAGUGCACCAGCUUUGAAGCAAGACAGAAUUGGGAUCAAGUCCCUGUUCCACCCUUACCAGGGAGGUCGCUGCGAGACGGUACCCGCGCCCCACAGUCCACCCGCUCCUCGGAGUCCCCCCGCGCCCCGGAGUCCACCCGCGCCCCGGAGUCCACCCGCGCAGGUCCACUUCUCCAUCCCUGCUCUCGACCUCCGCCCCUGCGGUGGGGGAAGUUCCUGGGGCGGUGGCUGGGACCAGGCCGGGUUUUAGGCGGGCGCAGAUUUCCGGGCUAACUUUCCUCGCCGUCUCAGCGCGGGAAGGGGGAAAUGGGAAACCCGGGCCAGAGCAGCGGAGCUUCCCAGCCGCACACUUCCUCCCUCCAGCCGUUUGUCUCGGCAGGGGAGGGCCCAGGCAGCCAAGCCGGCAGGCCCACUGGUUAUCCGACCUUGUGCUCUGGCCGUGGGUGGAGACCUUACAUCCAGCUCAGAGCGCCUCCUCCCAUCCCCUGUGUCCUCUAGGCCUCCCCAGACUUUGCCUUUUAGCCUUCCAGUGAAACAAGUUCUGUAUCCAAGAUAUACAAUUAAGUGGACAAAGCAGAUUGCAGGAAGUCUUUUCGUAGCUCACAAGGGGACAUCAAAGAUGACAAAGAGGAGUGGAAGAAGACAGAGAGAAUCAAUGUGAGGAGCCUGGAACAGGGCUCUGAAUUGUCUUCCCACAGUGAAAUCACUUGUCUAUUGCUGAGCCAAGAAUUUGACUCUGAGCAUCUAGGAUGAGAAAGAAGAACUGGCACCUACGCCAUCUCUGCCCCUCGGGACUGACUAUUUUGGCCCAGUUUCCUCAACAAUGAAAUGGGACUAAUUAUCCCAGGUCACACUUCUCUCUGGGCUUACCCUGGGAAUCAGAUGAUUGAGCUUUGGAUCUCACUCUGUUGCCCAGGCUGGAAUGCAGUGAUACGAUCAUGACUCACUGCAGCCUCAAACUCCUGGGUUCAAGUAACCCUCCCACCUCAGCUUUCUGAGUAACUGGGACUACAGGAUGCCCCACCCCACUUAGUCCAUAGUGAUGCCCACCUGUGGUUAAUGGAGCUGAGGCUGCUGGACCAAAGGGAGGAAGUCUGUUAGGCAUAUGUGGAACCCAAAAGAGGAACUUCAUCAACUGUCAUGGACAGCUCUGCCACUUUGUGACCCUGUGGACUUUUUGGGAAGUGUUUUUGUGGUUCACCAGUCUCUCAUUAGGCAAGGCCAUUUGUCCUGGGUUGGUCUUCUUCAUUGGUGGAAAGUACAGCUGGGAGAUUUGGAAUGGUUGCAGAUUGACUUGACUCUCAUAAGGAACUGCCACCAUGAGCUUUUGGGGAAAGACCUCAAGCUGUGGUGUGUUGCUGAGGAUUGUGGGAUUCCUCCAAAUCUUGGGGAACAUUUUGAGUCAUCACUGGCAGCAGAUUUCUGUUGACAACUUGAGCAACUUCAGAAUGAAGAAGCCAUCUUCAUCUCUCACAUGAAUAUGACUUUGGGUAAAUCAUCUCGAAAUCUGAACCCAUGGUUGUGAUCCACACUCCUCCUGAGUUCUGAUUUUUAGUGUAACCUUUUUCUUCUCAUUUUUUCUUCUUUGUGCAUCUCUUAAGGAGGUUUUUAAAAUCUCAUAAUUAAAAAAUUUAUUUCUUCA
rnacentral:lncRNA from 1 species